rnacentral:rRNA from 1 species
UUGACCUCAAAUCAGGUAGGAUUACCCGCUGAACUUAAGCAUAUCAAUAAGCGGAGGAAAAGAAACCAACUGGGAUUACCUUAGUAACGGCGAGUGAAGCGGUAAAAGCUCAAAUUUGAAAUCUGGUACUUUCAGUGCCCGAGUUGUAAUUUGUAGAAUUUGUCUUUGAUUAGGUCCUUGUCUAUGUUCCUUGGAACAGGACGUCAUAGAGGGUGAGAAUCCCGUUUGGCGAGGAUACCUUUUCUCUGUAAGACUUUUUCGAAGAGUCGAGUUGUUUGGGAAUGCAGCUCAAAGUGGGUGGUAAAUUCCAUCUAAAGCUAAAUAUUGGCGAGAGACCGAUAGCGAACAAGUACAGUGAUGGAAAGAUGAAAAGAACUUUGAAAAGAGAGUGAAAAAGUACGUGAAAUUGUUGAAAGGGAAGGGCAUUUGAUCAGACAUGGUGUUUUUUGCAUGCACUCGCCUCUCGUGGGCUUGGGCCUCUCAAAAAUUUCACUGGGCCAACAUCAAUUCUGGCAGCAGGAUAAAUCAUUAAGAAUGUAGCUACUUCGGUAGUGUUAUAGCUUUUUGGAAUACUGUUAGCCGGGAUUGAGGACUGCGCUUCGGCAAGGAUGUUGGCAUAAUGGUUAAAUGCCGCCCGUCUUGAAACACGGACCA